GGUUCAGGAUGAACGCUAGCUACAGGCUUAACACAUGCAAGUCGAGGGGCAGCAUUGGGAUAGCUUGCUAUUCAGAUGGCGACCGGCGCACGGGUGAGUAACGCGUAUCCAACCUUCCUGCCAGUAGGGAACAGCCCGGCGAAAGUCGGAUUAAUGCCCUAUGUUCUUCAAUGCGGACAUCUAAGUUGAAGGAAAGAUUCAUCGCUGGCAGAUGGGGAUGCGUCCGAUUAGCUUGCCGGCGGGGUAACGGCCCACCGGGGCGACGAUCGGUAGGGGUUCUGAGAGGAAGGUCCCCCACACUGGUACUGAGACACGGACCAGACUCCUACGGGAGGCAGCAGUGAGGAAUAUUGGUCAAUGGGCGUAAGCCUGAACCAGCCAAGUAGCGUGCAGGAAUGACGGCCCUACGGGUUGUAAACUGCUUUUAUGCGGGGAUAAAGUGCGGCACGUGUGCCGCUUUGCAGGUACCGCAUGAAUAAGGACCGGCUAAUUCCGUGCCAGCAGCCGC
rnacentral:rRNA from 1 species